rnacentral:misc_RNA from 1 species
UUCAGAAGAACAAGAAGUAAA